UUUUUGGAUUUUAAAAUUUUGUAUAUUAAUAUUUAUUCGUAAUACUUAUAAAUGUAUUGCGUUUUUGCGGCAUAUUGCUCUAGUUCAUAUUAACUAUUUUAUUUAAAUAGCGUGAUAUCAAAAAACUAUUCAAUUGAAAUAUCUUCAUAUUUCGAACAUCAGAGGCAAGAUUUUGAAUUAUAAAAAGUUCGCCCUCUCGCUCCAUUGGUUCUCAAACUAGGUAUAUAAAUUCUGACUAAAACUCAUUAUAUAAAGGGCAUAUUAAGCCCUUGGCUAGGCUUGGACUUGCUCAUGCUAUGAAACCUUUAUGUUUUCAUAAUCUCUAACGAUCGAAAUAUGCACGUAUGUGUGUACUUUUAUGGGCCAGUGUAUUUUGUAGUUUCCGCCACCAGCUGAGAAAACGUUUAAAAUUUAAUUUUGUGGCUCAUACUUACAAAUUGCCACCGUAAAUCCAAUUGCUUCUGGAUGAGGUUUGUUGUGUUUUCUACCUCUGGCUUCUGUCUGCUGGCCAACAGUCGGGUGGGUCGCAGGUCAUCUGUCGGGGGGGAGGUCAGUGGGGGCCCAUUAUCUAGACAUUAGUUGCGCCUGCUAACUGCCUGGCAACACCUGCAGCGGCGACGACUGGUUAUCGGCGCGAGUGUUGUGCCUCGAAAGCGGAGCUUGUAAUUAAAAGAAAUUGCUACCUGAAGCAUGCCGAGAGCGGGGGGCGCAACUGUUGAACCUGCAACUUGGAACCCGCAACCCGCAGCCUGGAAACUGAAACCUGGACGCUUCGCGCCGCAUAGUUGACCCUAAUUUAAAACAAUCAAUAACUGCGCCACAAGAACACUCAAGAUUGAAGAUUUCGAUCUUGCGCGCGCGCAGUCCAAACAAUAAAAUUAAUGUCUCCGGCGGCUUUAGCUGACCAGCAGGCCACUUAAGAGACCCGCACCAUCGCCCAGCCUCGAACAGGUAGCAGUCGUAAGAAGUCGUUCAACAAAAACAAACUGACAGACAGUCAGCUUGGCUCCAACAAAAAUUAGCCGCUUGAAUUAAUUUUCGGAUUCUAUAAAAAGUUUCUCAUGUCUGUCAUAUUUUAAAUUUCGAAAAGCCUGCAAAAAGACGUAUAAUUGAAAUUGAACGAGAUAAUUUAGGUCUCGUUUGCUGCAACAGCAAAGCUGGGGUGCUGGCUCAAAUCCAAGGUAAGUGUUGGUA